rnacentral:rRNA from 1 species
GAAUUCGCCCUUAGAGUUUGAUCCUGGCUCAGGACGAACGCUGGCGGCGUGCCUAACACAUGCAAGUCGAGCGAUGAAAAAGAAGUAGAUCUCUUCGGAGUGACGCCUCUUUGGAUUAGCGGCGGACGGGUGAGUAACACGUGAGCAACCUGCCGUACACAUUGGGAUAGCCUCGGGAAACUGGGAUUAAUACCAAACGAAACAUAUUGAUAGCAUUAUCAAGAUGUCAAAGAUUUAUCGGUGUACGAUGGGCUCGCGUCUGAUUAGCUAGUUGGUGAGAUAAAAGCUCACCAAGGCAAUGAUCAGUAGCCGGCCUGAGAGGGUGAUCGGCCACAUUGGGACUGAGACACGUCCCAAACUCCUACGGGAGGCAGCAGUGGGGAAUAUUGCACAAUGGAGGGAACUCUGAUGCAGCGACGCCGCGUGAGCGAAGAAGGAAUUCGUUUCGUAAAGCUCUGUCCUAUGGGAAGAUAAUGACGGUACCAUAGAAGAAAGCCCCGGCUAACUACGUGCCAGCAGCCGCGGUAAUACGUAGGGGGCGAGCGUUGUCCGGAAUUAUUGGGCGUAAAGGGUUCGUAGGCGGUAAUACAUGUCAGAUGUGAAAUCUUGUGGCUUAACCACAUCAAGCAUCUGAAACUGUAUAACUUGAGUGGAGGAGAGGUAAGUGGAAUUCCUAGUGUAGCGGUGAAAUGCGUAGAUAUUAGGAAGAAUACCAGUAGCGAAGGCGACUUACUGGCCUCUAACUGACGCUGAUGAACGAAAGCGUGGGUAGCAAACAGGAUUAGAUACCCUGGUAGUCCACGCCGUAAACGAUGAGUGCUAGGUGUCGGGAGUCAAAUCUCGGUGCCGUAGUUAACGCAAUAAGCA